rnacentral:rRNA from 1 species
CAACGGUGGUGGAAAGGAUUCUGGUCUGGGAUGGGCCCGCGGCCUAUCAGCUUGUUGGUGGGGUAAUGGCCUACCAAGGCGACGACGGGUAGCCGGCCUGAGAGGGCGACCGGCCACACUGGGACUGAGACACGGCCCAGACUCCUACGGGAGGCAGCAGUGGGGAAGUAUUGCGCAAUGGGCGAAAGCCUGACGCAGCGACGCCGCGUGAGGGACGAAAGGUCUUCGGAUUGGUAAACCUCUUUUCAGCAGGGACGAAGCGAAAGUGACUGUACCUGCAGAAGAAGCACCGGCUAACUACGUGCCAGCAGCCGCGGUAAUACGUAGGUGCAAGCGUUGUCCGGAUUUAUUGGCGUAAAGAGCUCGUAGGCGGUUUGUCGCGUCGGAUGUGAAAACCAAUGGCUUAACCUU